rnacentral:ncRNA from 1 species
CUUAAUUAUCCGAUCCGGAAACAACUCGAGACGGGAGAAGGAAGAGAUAAAGAAGUUAGAGAACGGAAGGUGAAAGCUCUAAUAAAGAAAGGUACCAAAAGAUUUAUUAGACCACCAAGAUCAAAAGAGAAAUUGAUCAAGGAGCUAGAGAAAAAAACUCAAAUCUAGACACUUUCGAACUCGAACUAAA